UUAUAUUUACUCUCAUUUCCUCUGCCUCUCCCUUUCUCUCACGAAUCUAAAAAUCAAACUUCCCCUUCUUUUACAAAUUUACUAAUUUGGAUUUUUCUUCUCUCUUUACUCGACGCCGCUCGCUCUCUCUUUCUCCGAAAAAAGGUUUGUUCACCAAUUCACCUCUUUCUUUCCUCUGUUUUCUCUUAGUUUCACUGCAUC
rnacentral:lncRNA from 1 species